GAUGAACGCUAGCUACAGGCUUAACACAUGCAAGUCGAGGGGCAGCAUUUCAGUUUGCUUGCAAACUGGAGAUGGCGACCGGCGCACGGGUGAGUAACACGUAUCCAACCUGCCGAUAACUCGGGGAUAGCCUUUCGAAAGAAAGAUUAAUACCCGAUGGCAUAAUUAGACCGCAUGGUCUUAUUAUUAAAGAAUUUCGGUUAUCGAUGGGGAUGCGUUCCAUUAGGCAGUUGGUGAGGUAACGGCUCACCAAACCUUCGAUGGAUAGGGGUUCUGAGAGGAAGGUCCCCCACAUUGGAACUGAGACACGGUCCAAACUCCUACGGGAGGCAGCAGUGAGGAAUAUUGGUCAAAUGGACGAGAGUCUGAACCAGCCAAGUAGCGUGAAGGAUGACUGCCCUAUGGGUGUAAACUUCUUUUAUAUGGGAAUAAAGUUUCACGUGUGGAAUUUUGUAUGUACCAUAUGAAUAAGGAUCGGCUAACUCCGUGCCAGCAGCCGACGG
rnacentral:rRNA from 1 species